AGGACGAACGCUGGCGGCGUGCUUAACACAUGCAAGUCGAGCGGAAAGGCCCUUCGGGGUACUCGAGCGGCGAACGGGUGAGUAACACGUGAGCAACCUGCCCUUAGCUUCGGGAUAGCUCCGGGAAACCGGAAUUAAUACCGAAUAUGAUUUUUGCUGACAUCAGCAGAAGUGGAAAGUUUUUCGGCUAGGGAUGGACUCGCGGCCUAUCAGCUAGUUGGUGAGGUAACGGCCCACCAAGGCGACGACGGGUAGCCGGCCUGAGAGGGCGACCGGCCACACUGGGACUGAGACACGGCCCAGACUCCUACGGGAGGCAGCAGUGGGGAAUAUUGCGCAAUGGGCGAAAGCCUGACGCAGCGACGCCGCGUGGGGGAUGAAUGCCUUCGGGUUGUAAACCCCUUUCAGCAGGGACGAAGCGAAAGUGACGGUACCUGCAGAAGAAGCGCCGGCUAACUACGCGCCAGCACGCCGC
rnacentral:rRNA from 1 species